UACAGAGGUCUCAAGCGUUGUUCGGAUUCAUUGGGCGUAAAGAGCGUGUAGGCGGCCGUACAGGUCAGCUGUGAAAACUCGAGGCUCAACCUCGAGACGUCGGUUGAAACCGUACGGCUAGAGUCCGGAAGAGGCGAGUGGAAUUCCUGGUGUAGCGGUGGAAUGCGCAGAUAUCAGGAGGAACACCAAUAGCGAAGGCAGCUCGCUGGGACGGUAUUGACGCUAAGGCGCGAAAGCGUGGGGAGCAAACAGG
rnacentral:rRNA from 1 species